AGCGAACGCUGGCGGCGUGCUUAACACAUGCAAGUCGAGCGAAGGUGUUUCAAGGGUAACCUUGAGAUACACUUAGCGGCGGACGGGUGAGUAAUACGUGGAUAACUUACCUCUAGGCCUGGGAUAACCCCGGGAAACUGGGGCUAAUACCUGAUAAGACCACAUUGUCUACGGACAAAGGGGGUAAAAGGUGGCUGUGCAAACAGCUAUCGCCAAAAGAUAGGUUCACGUCCCAUCAGGCAGUGGUGAGGUAAUGGCUCACCAAACCAAAGACGGGUAGCCGGCCUUGGCGGGUGAACGGCCACACGGGGACUGAGACACGGCCCCGACUCCUACGGGAGGCAGCAGUGGGGAAUAUUGGGCAAUGGGCGCAAGCCUGACCCAGCGACGUCGCGUUGGGGAAGAAGGCCUUCGGGUU
rnacentral:rRNA from 1 species